AGAGUUUGAUCCUGGCUCAGAUUGAACGCUGGCGGCAUGCCUAACACAUGCAAGUCGAACGGGUUGUAGCAAUACAACUAGUGGCGGACGGGUGAGGAAUACAUAGGAAUUUGCCUUCAGGUGGGGGAUAGUCCGGGGAAACUCGGUUUAAUACCGCAUGAUGUCGCAAGACCAAAGCAGGGGAUCGUAAGACCUUGCGCCUUUAGAGAAGCCUAUGUCGGAUUAGCUAGUUGGUAGGGUAAUGGCCUACCAAGGCGACGAUCCGUAACUGGUCUGAGAGGACGAUCAGUCACACCGGAACUGAGACACGGUCCGGACUCCUACGGGAGGCAGCAGUGGGGAAUAUUGGACAAUGGGCGAAAGCCUGAUCCAGCAAUGCCGCGUGUGUGAAGAAGGCCUUCGGGUUGUAAAGCACUUUAGGCUGGGAAGAAAAAGCUUCACCUAAUACGUGAAGCCUUGACGGUACCAGCGGAAUAAGCACCGGCUAACUCUGUGCCAGCAGCCGCGGUAAUACAGAGGGUGCUAGCGUUAAUCGGAUUUACUGGGCGUAAAGCGUGUGUAGGCGGUUCGUUAAGUCGGAUGUGAAAGCCCUGGGCUCAACCUAGGAAUUGCAUUCGAUACUGGCGGGCUAGAGUACGGUAGAGGGCGGCGGAAUUCCGGGUGUAGCGGUGAAAUGCGUAGAUAUCCGGAGGAACACCGAUGGCGAAGGCAACCGCCUGGGCCUGUACUGACGCUGAGACACGAAAGCGUGGGGAGCAAACAGGAUUAGAUACCCUGGUAGUCCACGCCGUAAACGAUGAGAACUUGACGUCGGUUUGCUCUGCGAAUCGGUGUCGAAGCUAACGCGCUAAGUUCUCCGCCUGGGGAGUACGGCCGCAAGGUUGAAACUCAAAGGAAUUGACGG
rnacentral:rRNA from 1 species